UACCAUUGAUCUCUGGGUGCAGAU
rnacentral:siRNA from 1 species